CUCCCGCCGGCGACCGGCGCACGGGUGAGUAACACGUAUGAAACCUGCCCGUAGCAGGGGGAUAAGCGGAAGAAAUUCCGUCUAAUACCGCGUAACAACCCAUGGAGGCAUCUCUGUGGGUUUAAAGGAAGCGAUUCCGGCCACGGAUGGUCAUGCGUCGCAUUAGCUUGUUGGCGGGGUAACGGCCCACCAAGGCGACGAUGCGUAGGGGUUCUGAGAGGAAGGUCCCCCACACUGGUACUGAGACACGGACCAGACUCCUACGGGAGGCAGCAG
rnacentral:rRNA from 1 species